AGACGGGGGGUGCUAGCGUUGUUCGGAAUUACUGGGCGUAAAGGGCGCGUAGGCGGCUCUGCGAGUCGGGCGAGAAAUCCCGGGGCUCAACCCCGGAACGGCGCUCGAUACUGCGGGGCUGGAGACCGGAAGAGGAGGGUGGAAUUCCCAGUGUAGAGGUGAAAUUCGUAGAUAUUGGGAGGAACACCGGUGGCGAAAGCGGCUCUCUGGUCCGGUUCUGACGCUGAGGCGCGAAAGCGUGGGGAGCAAACAGGAUUAGAAACCCUAGUAGUCC
rnacentral:rRNA from 1 species